rnacentral:lncRNA from 1 species
CUUGUUUAAGUUUAGUGAAAAAUGUCAUGCUCAUAGAUUGAUCGCUUUGCAAUUUGAUAUACAAAGUUAUUAAAGUCUUCAAACCUAUUGGACCCUACUUUUAGCUGGGAGGAAAGAUUUCUCUAAAAUAUGAUCAUAUUACUAUUAAUUAUUUAAAUACAUGAAAGACCCCAUUAAUAUAUAUAUAUAUAUAUAUAUAUAUAUAUAUAGUAAUUAAAUUUAAUUNNNNNAAUAUAUAAUAUAUAUUAUAUAUAUAUACUAUGAAUAAAUUUUAAUUAUGAAAUUAUUUUUAAAUUAUGUACUAAGAUAAAAU